rnacentral:tRNA from 1 species
GGGCGAGUGGCGAAACUGGCAGACGCGCACGGUUCAGGGCCGUGUGGGAGCAAUCCCAUGGAGGUUCAAAUCCUCUCUCGCCCA